rnacentral:misc_RNA from 1 species
GAAAUAUCAAGUUCCUUUUUACAUUACUCCAAUAACAUGCCAAGAGACUCGUCUCUGAUGCAAAGCAAAACCAUAUAUCAUGAGCUUGUUCAGGAAAACAGUGAGAUAAUAGCAGGAUCGGUCAACUGCCGAUCUUUACAUACACUUGCAAUAUAAAUGUAUGCUCUAGCCAGCCAUGAUACAUCUUCAAGGAUUUCAUGCUGCAGUCGAUCUUCUAACAAUUGAUCCCGCAUUGCUCGAUAUCUGGGCCAGUAACCUUGGUGGUGAACGGAUCGAUCCGAACCCACAGCAAGGAAAAGAUGGAAGCAAGAAGGAUGGACCAGACAACGACAAUAGUUGGUGUUCGGUUCUGCCGCCCCAUCAAACCCUUGAGGAAGGGGUAAAGAUGCACCACCACCCAAAAUGAGAAGAAGAGCUUCCCGAACAGAGGCCCCCAUGACUGGUACCCGCUGUUGAUGGCAUAAGAGAUCCCAGCAACCAUGCCCACCAAGUUGACAAUGAGAAGAGUGGUCGGUGGUAUCAAAAGUGUUGUCCACUUGAACAUGUAUAGCUCAGUGAAGUCACCGUCUUCAUCUCCUGCCUUCGAUGUAACCGUGAAAUUGGUGUCAAUGCCAGCGAGAACCUUGAGAAGUCCUUGGAAUACUGCAAAGAGAUGGGCGGAGACGCCACCGAUAACCCAAAACUGUUCAUUCCUCCACCAUUCCUCGAUUCCAACACCACUCCACCUCAUCUCUAGUAUACCCGUGGCAAAGAUCGAAAGGAAGAGCGAUAUGAACCAUAUACUCGCAAUGUUGCUAAUCUGAGGGAUGAUAAACUUUCCAGUGAGUAGACAGACAGCCGGUAAAGUGCAGUAUAAAAGAAGUGGAAGAGAAGUGAGAGGAUAAAUGGUUGUGUUGAUGUACGCGAAUCUCUCUAGAAACUUCAGUCGUCCGCCAUAGCCAUACCAUAUAGGGCAAUGGCGGCUAAAAAGAAUCUCAACU